GCUAACGCGUUAAGUCGACCGCCUGGGGAGUACGGCCGCAAGGUUAAAACUCAAAUGAAUUGACGGGGGCCCGCACAAGCGGUGGAGCAUGUGGUUUAAUUCGAUGCAACGCGAAGAACCUUACCUGGUCUUGACAUCCACAGAACCUUGUAGAGAUACGAGGGUGCCUUCGGGAACUGUGAGACAGGUGCUGCAUGGCUGUCGUCAGCUCGUGUUGUGAAAUGUUGGGUUAAGUCCCGCAACGAGCGCAACCCUUAUCCUUUGUUGCCAGCGGUCCGGCCGGGAACUCAAAGGAGACUGCCAGUGAU
rnacentral:rRNA from 1 species